rnacentral:rRNA from 1 species
AUUGAACGCUGGCGGCAGGCCUAACACAUGCAAGUCGAACGAGUGGCGGACGGGUGAGUAAUGUCUGGGAAACUGCCCGAUGGAGGGGGAUAACUACGGGAAACGGUAGCUAAUACAGCAUACCAUCGGAUGUGCCCAGAUGGGGAUAGAUAGUAGGUGGGGUAAAGGCUCACAUAGGCGACGAUCCCUAGCUGGUCUGAGAGGAUGACCAGCUAUACUGGAACUGAGACACGGUCCAGACUCCUACGGGAGUCAGCAUUGGGGAAUAUUGCACAAUGGGCGCAAGCCUGAUGCAGCCAUGCCGCGUGUAUGAAGAAGGCCUUCGGGUGGUAAAGUACUUUCAGCGAGGAGGCGUUACUCGCAGAAGAAGCACCGGCUAACUCCGUGCCAGCAGCCGCGGUAAUAC